CUGAUUCGUUGGGGGAGGAAGUACCCCCCGGGCAUCCAUCUCCACCCAGGUAAAUCUCAGUGCAAAAACCUAGGGUUAGGGUUCUAGCAAUACUGCUUAGUUAGAGUACUCAGUUAGUUAGGAUGCCUAGGGUUACUUCUAGCAAUACUGCUUCGUUGGGGGAGGAAGCUCCUAUGCCUAGAUGAAGUUUUUUCUUUGUUUUUUUCUGAAUUACUAAAUGUAUCAUAGUUUAUUCUGCAUUUCUUGCUCUUGUGGCAUAGAUCUUAUUGCUGUUAAUAUGUCAUAGUUUUUAUUGUGGCACUCAGAAUGUCAUGAUCAUGAAUUUGAUUUGUGUUCUAUAGGCUUGAAAAUGUUACUGAAAAUGUCAUGGUCAUUAAUAUGUUUUAAUAUGUUUUGUGUUUUGUAGGCCUGAGGAGCCAUGGUCAUUAUAUUUUCAGUUUCCUUCUAAAGAUGCUGCCAAAAAAUAUGCCCUUGUGAAGAUGUAUGAGAGAGACAUCACUUAUGGCAAUUUGCUUAAUGUGAUGGUCAGAAAUGGAUAUGGAAGUGAUGACAGUAUUUGCUACUUGAGGAAGGAUUGCACAGGGCUGCAAGGGAUUACUUUCGUCAGAAACAACACUGAAGUGGAUGAGAUGAUAAAGCGGUUUAAAAAUAGUCAGACACUGUGUUUGUAUGUUAAAGAGGGGAAAUUAGAUAUAAAGCAAGCAUCAGUUAACAAAAGUGCAGAAGAUGAAGAAGUGGACCCAGAUGAAACAAUUGAAGAUUUAACAGUGGACCCACCAGUUGUAUUUGCUGUUAAUGAGUCAGGUGUUGUG
rnacentral:lncRNA from 1 species